CAUAAAUUGUUAAUCGUAAUUAUGCUUAUCGAUAUGCUGAUUAAAUUAGAUUUUAAUGAUCAUAGAAAACUCAAACUACAUCGACGUUUUGUUAAAAGAUAACAUUGAGUUAUUACUUUUUUACGAACAACGAACCUUUACAUAUCUUUUUUCAAUCGAAUUUAAAACAUUGUCUUGUUUAUUCUUUUUACAAGAAACAAUAGCAUUGAUUAUAAAAAAAAAGAAAACGGUUCAAUAGUAUCGUUGAAAAGGAGUCAGUCACACGUCGUAUAACGUGGACAACGACAUAUUUCCCCUACCCUUGUUCAUCCGCACAUUGUGGCGGCAGCAGCAGCAACAGAAACAUCAGCGACAGCAACGCAACAGUCGACAGUAAAGCAUGGUACAGAAAAGCUGUAAAUGAAUGCUGAAAAUCUAAUUUUGGAAAUAUUACAAAAUUCUUCUUGAUUUUAACAACCACGUACAUAAAAUAGGUAAGGAAAACAAAAAACAGGAAGAUGAACCGCAAACAUCAAUAGCAACAACAAUAACAAGCUCUCCUCUCUUACUAAAAAGGAUAUCCUUGGUUCUUAAAAAUAAACGUCAGAUAUAUUUUCGUAUAGUCAAACAUUAUCCUUGGUCUAAACUUUUAGGAUAUUUUGUCACGAAACGAAACGAAACGAAACGAAACGAAAUGAGACGAAUCGCCACGAGACACGACGAAACGCGACGAGUCGCGACUCAAGGGUUCUAGUUAUUGAUUCGUCCGAAGGGGAAGGUACGCGCAAACGUUUCCCACUUUCCGUGUUCACACACACACACACACACACACACACAGAGAGAGACAGACAGACAGACAGAGAUACACGCACAUAUAUACAAUGUAACCAUCUACCACUCUUCGAUCUGUUUCUUCCUUCGGUCAAUCACCAACGAAUAAACACACACCAGGAACUACAUAUAUACCUCUUAAUUUCACUUCAGACAGAUUCUUCUGCUAAAAGAUCACGACGACGACUCUUGUGAAAUAGUCGAAAGAACGUUCAUAGCAAAUCCUUUUUUUCUUCAUUGGGGGGAGGGGGUAGCAAGGUCAAACGUCGGGAUCGAUAUUUAUACAAUCUCUCUGUGUGUCAUCUCUACUAUUUCCCAUCUACCAAUCUGUAAUUCCCCUCUUUGGACAAAGAGCUAAUUCAACAGCCAAGUAUGACACUCCGUACAUUUAGAAUUAAUAAUAUAGGAUGCAUAAGUUACGAACGACCUAGAGAUGACCUCAAAAACAAGUCCAUGAUCUCUAACUGGCUUUUGUUAGCUAAGUUAAAACUCUUAUCGGUCUAGCGUUGUGUUUAUUUUUAGAAAAACCGUGACGAUAUCAUCGGUCCUUGUCGGAAUUACCGUUGACUUAUCUUUGCGUCAUUUUUCUUCUUCUUUUUCUAAGAAAAAUAGAAGAAAAUAAAGAUUUAACAAUGUAAGACCUCUCUAACUGUAGUAGGGAAAUACAUAUGUAUAAAUAAAUAUGUUGCUGAGAUUACAGACAAGACUAAUUUGGUCGAUAAACGACUAAAGUAUAUAGAAAUGGUAGGCACAAUUUAUUCGCGUUCUAGACCUUCUUAAUACGUACAGCUUACCAUUUAAAGACGACCUAACGACCUUAUUGUCCAAUUACAUAAAGAUUAGCUGUCUUACUAGGACAUCUACUAUUAUGACAUAGAUGUAAUACUUUAUCAGACAAUUUAGGAUAGCAUACAAAAAAACUAAUUUGUUGCUUAUCUAUAAUAUUUUGAAAAAAUAAUCGGUUUCAUUAAUAUGAAUUCUACGGAAAUAGUAUUACUCAUUCUAAAAGUAUUCUUAAGAAAUGUCAAUGACUCAUAGUAUGUGCAUCAAAUCAAAUUUUAAAACAAAUCGUACGUUUCUUGUAUUACUCGGGAAAUAUAGAAAAACUUUAAUAGAAAAUUCAAUAUCUUUUGUGUUCCAUUUUUUCUCUCAGCAAAAUUUAAUCGAUUUUAUAAGGAAACGGGGAAAAAGGUCCGAGGAUAAAAAAGUUUCCGAUAAGAUAAAAUUCUGAAAGUUUUAGAGGCACAGUCAAAGGCACUUUGUGUCCCUUAGCCAGGAAUGAAUAUACUCGACAUAACUGACAUAGUUAUAUCUUCACUUACAAUUUCUUCGGCUUAUUACCUAAAAGCUUACCAAAAUUUUGGUUCAAAAUAAACUCCUGCCAGUUAAAAAUAUAAUUUCGACAACAAUCGUGAAUUUACGACAAUUAAACAAUUAAACAAAUAAACAAAUUGUAAAAAAAAGCAAAAAAAACAUACGAGGAACUUAAACAACAAGGGACAAAAGAAUAAAAAUGUCUGUUAGUUAGGAGAAUUAGAAAUAGCCGAAAAUAACCAAUAAAGGGUGGGGGAGAAGGUGAUGAUGACGAUCAUUUGUUUGCCCUCAAAAGAAAAAAAUCCUCGAGGUAGGAGGCGGAUUUAUUAAUUUCCUUCAUUCUUUCAAAGCCGAUCGAACAACGAGAACGAUGACGACAACGACAACGACGACGACGAGGAAGAAGACUCUAUAACGAACACCAAAUCAGGGGGGGGGAUGUUUUCAGCUAGGUUAGUAGCGCGUUACUAGCGUUCGUCGAAUGAGUAGCACGUAUAUAGGGGUGGAGCAGAAGAGCCACCCGGAACGGCUGGGGUGGUAAUCGUUACUCCCGUCUACCAGCCUGUCUACCGACCCUUUACUGGACUCUGAACGUUUCACCUCUAACAGAGACACUACCUCUCACCAAAGACACCAACCAACAUCGCAGCAAACCCAUACCAACCAUCCAACCAACCAACUCACCCCUCUCGAGAAACGCGCGCUCGCUCGCUGAUUUUCUCGAGCUUCUUUUUCUCAAACUUCAACAAUCCAUUCUCCUUCCUUUUUCAACCCCCCACCCCUUUGUACUCCUCCUCCUUCACCCCCACUACCAACGCGCAACUGCUUCAAGCGCGAUGGAAGAAAAUAUCGACCGGGGAGCCCUUUUGGCGCGCACCGCGCCACCGAAGAUGCGAAACACGCUCCUUUCUCGACAUUCCGAAUACGGAAACUUCGAGAAUGGUGCUGCCAUCAUUGGAGUUUUCAUUCAAGUCCUGUUUAUGAAAGAAAAGCCCCCCCCCCUGACGCCUGCGCAAAUCUUCUUUACACGGAUUUUGUCAUUCUUCGAAAACAUCAAACUACUACGAACUCUCGGGAUAAAAAUGUCUCAUGUGAACAUUGGAAAAAUAAAUAAAGUUUUCGCGUUAAAAGUAAAAACUGUUAAUAAAAACUGGUCAAUUACUUUUUAUUAGAAAAUUGACACCUUUUUUUAUCAAAAUUCUAUUAUCAAGACUAUAAAUUCGACGGAUACAUUUUUUUCAAUUAGACUAUUAAUUGUUAACAGGUUUGACAAUAAUUCUAUAUCUUUGAAUUAGAUCAUUUUUCACAGUUAGCAGUGUGCAUUGGCCUUGAAAUUGUUUAAUGUUUUAUCCCUUGCACAUAAAAAAAAUCUUAACGCAUUUCUUUCAAACUAGCGAUUAACUUUUCUGAAGGAAUAUAAUUUUAUUUGUAAGAAAAUACGAGAGCUGUGAUUGUAUAAAGAUAUUAUUAAAACGAGUUCCUCAAAUGAAUUAAAUUAAACGCUUUUCACUCGCAUAUUUUCGCUCAAGUGAGAACAAAUCUUGAUCGCGAUCUGGUCACUUAAAUGUACAAAUUAAUCUUGACACGAGAUAAAAAAAUCUAGGUUGAUAGAACUACAUAUGUAAUAGAUGUAUUACAGUUAUUUUACAAAUACAUAUAUAUAUGAUAGAUAACGAGGAUGAAUUGAACGAGUUGGACGACUAUCAGGUAUAUUGGUCGCAGAAGCUGGAAAGGUCACUCUUUCGCGCAACUUGUACGGACCAGUUUGCCUCUAUGCCCUCUAUUUCCUUGAAGUACUCUCUCCCAUCAUCUUCCAGUUUCUACUCUUACAGUUUUCUCAAUCAUAGUAUGCUAGGAAUACAUAUACAUAUACCAAUAAAUAUGUGUUGGGUUGCCCUAUUAAUAGUUCACGUUAGAAACAAAAUAUUUUUAAAUAAAUUAGCAAUACAUAUCUACAUAUACCAAUAAAUAUGCGUUGGAUUGCCGUAAUUCAUUGUAAAAAAAAGGAAGAAAAUAUUUUUAGUACAAAAAUUUCUCAUCGAUAAGACUACUACUCUCCAAGAUAUUAUUAAAAAGGUAAUCAUGGUUGCUAAUUGGAGAAAAAAAAAAUAAUAUAAAAUAUAUUUAAAAAAAGAAAGUCUGAACUCGUAACU